rnacentral:rRNA from 1 species
AUGUCGUGCUGCGGAGGCAACUGCGGAUGCGGAUCCGGCUGCAAGUGCGGCAACGGCUGCGGAGGGUGCAAGAUGUACCCUGAGAUGGACGAGGGGGUGAACACCACCUCCCAGACCCUCAUCAUGGGCGUGGCGCCCUCCAAGGGCACCCCGUCGUUCGAGGCCGCCGCCGAGAACGGAGGAUGCAAGUGCGGCCCCAACUGCUCCUGCAACCCGUGCACCUGCAAGUGA